rnacentral:ncRNA from 1 species
CGACAAUUUUAAUGGGAUUGAGCCUUGAUACGGAAACUUACUAAGUGAUAACUUUCAAAUUCAGAGAAACCCUGUAAUGAAAAAUGAGCAAUCCUGAGCCGAAUCCUAUUAUUUUAUUAUUUUACAAAAAUAAACAUGAACACAGAUAUAUAAGUGCAGGGACCUAAUGGAAACUAUUCUAACAAAUGGGGUUGACUGUUGGUAAAAGAAUCCUUAUAUCG